GUAACAUUCAGACCGUCAGUCUACCGAGCAAUUACUGGUUCGGUGGAAGAUCUUCUCUUUGCUCC
rnacentral:pre_miRNA from 1 species